GACGAACGCUGGCGGCGUGCUUAACACAUGCAAGUCGAACGGAAAGGCCCUGCUUUUGUUGGGUGCUCGAGUGGCGAACGGGUGAGUAACACGUGAGUAACCUGCCCUUUACUUUGGGAUAACUUCAGGAAACUGUGGCUAAUACCGCAUAGGAGCUCCUGCUGCAUGGUGUGGGUUGGAAAGUUUCGGCUGUUUGGGUUGGACGCGCGGCUUCUCUGCUUGUUGGUGGGGUAGUGGCUUACCAAGGCUUUGACGGGUAGCCGGCCUGAGAGGGUGACCGGCCACAGUGGGACUGGGAUACGGGCAAGAGGGCUACGGGAGGCAGCAGUGGGGAAUAUUGCAAAAAGGGCGGAAGCCUGAAGGAGGAACGCCGCGUGCGAGAGGACGGCCUUCGGGGUGGAAACCGCUUGCGCCUGGGACGAAGAGUGAGUGACGGUAAUGGGUAAAGAAGCACCGGCUAACUACGUG
rnacentral:rRNA from 1 species